CAGAGAUGGAUUUGUUCCUUCAGGGGACUUGGACACAGGUGCUGCAUGGCUGUUGUCAGCUCGUGUCGUGAGAUGUUGGGUUAAGUCCCGCAACGAGCGCACCCCUUGUCUUCUGUUGCCAUCGGGUAAUGCCGGGAACUCAGAGGAGACUGCCGGUGACAAGCGGGAGGAAGGCGGGGAUGACGUCAAGUCAUCAUGGCCCUUACCGUAGGGCUAGAAACGUGCACAGGGUGCACAUGAGCCC
rnacentral:rRNA from 1 species